GUCGUCUGAGACGCAAGUUAAACACUUGGGGACUACCACUCUGACACUUAACUAGAUUACAUCUCCUACAGCAGCUUUCAGGCUUUUGUCCCUCUCUGUUUCUUUAUCUGGGUGGGUCUCAUGGCACAUAGUCCCUGACUGUCAUCUUGCUGGCACGGGGAUCAUCAGGGGUGGAAAAUCCUAAAGUUAUAGUCUCACCUUUCUGAUGCUUUUUCCUAUUGUUGUUUUCAAGCUUUCUGGUAACCUUCACUCGGGCAGGAAGUUUAGCAUGUUAAGCACAUUGAAUCACCAUGUCUUUGAAUUUA